rnacentral:rRNA from 1 species
AGUGAACGCUGGCGGUAGGCCUAACACAUGCAAGUCGAACGGCAGCACAGGAGAGCUUGCUCUCUGGGUGGCGAGUGGCGGACGGGUGAGGAAUACAUCGGAAUCUACUCUGUCGUGGGGGAUAACGUAGGGAAACUUACGCUAAUACCGCAUACGACCUACGGGUGAAAGCAGGGGACCUUCGGGCCUUGCGCGAUUGAAUGAGCCGAUGUCGGAUUAGCUAGUUGGCGGGGUAAAGGCCCACCAAGGCGACGAUCCGUAGCUGGUCUGCGAGGCUGAUAAGCCACACUGGAAUUAGAACACGGUCCAGACUCCUACGGGAGGCAGCAGUGGGGAAUAUUGGAGAGUGGGCGCAAGCCUGAUGCAGCGAUACCGCGUGGGUGAAGAAGGCCUUCGGGUUGUAAAGCCCUUUUGUUGGGAAAGAAAUCCAGCUGGCUAGUACCCGGUUGGGAUGACGGUACCCAAAGAAUAAGCACCGGCUAACUUCGUGCCAGCCGCCGCCGUAA